UAUUAUGUCAUUGUCGGUUUAUAUUAAAGAUAGGUUUAUACGGACUAAUAAAUCACUUUGGUUUAUUGACUGUCUAUUAUCCUUGGGGUACUUGCACUAUAAUUUUACUUUAAAUUGAAGCACAAUGGACCCUAUUGAGUUGUUUGUUGUUUUUAGUGUUCCACACAUUCAUCCAGUGCUUCUCUUACUUAUACAGUUUACGUGUAGACUUCAUGAUGCCUUUGUCCAAACUAACCUUAGCAUGGCUAUUAUGGUUCUUAUUGAAGAAAAAUCUUCUGUGUCCUUGGCCGAUCGACUGGACGAAGUUGUCAUUAAGGAGCUGCAUAAAAACGAACAUAAGAACGUUGCCUUAAUAUUACGGGCAAUGGAACAUCUAAUUAGUAAAGAUGAAGAUAGCAUCCAGAAACUCGUUCAUCACGGCUUGGUUGUGAAGAUGUUGAAUUGGUUCGAGAUUUCGUCAGAGCAUCUCAAAGAACAAUACAAACCACCCAGGGACGCCAUGAAUCUCAUAGAAGUUUUCUACGAGGUUGCCAUGAGUCUGUGUCAGCUCACCAUUGCAGGCAGCAAUAAGAUCCUGGAUAUAUUUUUGCUGCGGUUUGGGGCUGUUGUUUUGGAUUAUGAAGUGCCUUUCUGUCUGCGUCUAGAGGCCAUCAGAACCAUAAACUCUAUGUUGGACAGCAGUCCCAAAGAUAUAAGGAAGAAACUCUGCCAGUCAGAUGACCAUGUCGGGCUCUUAGAGAACUUGGCAAAAGCGCUGACAGACAUUGGUGAUUAUGAAAUGCAGGUGGCCAUUUCCGAAGCACUCUGCAGGAUGACACCAAGGAAACUAAGAGAAGAUUUUGCUGACAAAUGGUUCAGUUUCAGAAGCUUUGCUUCAGCUUUUACUUCAAUUCGUGACAAAGAUUUUGAAACUGACUGUAGGACAUUUCUGAAUGAACUCAACAGUUAUUUUGGCAACUCAAGAAGAGUGUUCUCUUUCCCUUGUAUUCAGGCAUUUCUUGAUUCAGCUGAGCUGUUCAAGCCUGAAGAUGAGUUUCUAAAGGAGUUUUGGGUGGAUUUCAACAUUGGAACAUCAACCAUUAGUUUCUUUGUAAAUGACCCAAAGAACACACUGUGGGAGUUGAUUCACCUGCCUAAAGAUGUUGUCAGCAUGUAUGAUCUUCAAGAGCAUGAUGAUCGGAAGAUAUUGGAAGUUCACAUGAGUACCCCACUCUCUCAUGGAGAGAUCACUGGCAAAAUUGUCAAAAUCAUCUUUAGUGCAGAACACCACAUCCAAACAGCCAUGACAAAAGUGUUUCCAGAUAAACCACAGUCUUCCUCAGUUUCAAAGGAAGCUCUGCAAACAGGGGAUUGGCAUCAGAUAGAAGGAAACCAGCAUGAACAAACAUCAGUGCUGCAGACUUUUACCAGUCCAUCUGCUGCGGAAACCAAAGUCAUCCAUCAGCGUUCCCCUUUGAGUGGACCAAGCAAAUAUUCAAGAUCCAAAGUCAAAGGAAGCCCAGGCCAUGACAUCUUUCAAUUUAAGGAUCAUUCAGAUUCGGAGGUUGCUCGUGCCAAGACUGUAUUGUUCUGUCAGACAUCAUCUAACGGGUCUACGAAAUCCCUCCCUGACACUCUGGGAAGAACUCCUGUUAAGAAGAAAAUGAAGUUGAUGCAUUCAGAUGAAUGUUGUCUCCGCAAGGACACUCCACAUGCUGUCUACAGCAGGAGAAAGCCUAGAGCUAAGGGCAAACUCAGAGUUCUUCCUCUUUCAUCACCCAGCAGUAAUGAAGAGGAGCUCUCUAAGUAUUCAACACCCAAAGAAAGAUUUCGAGGAAAGAAAAGAAUGGCAAGUGAAGACUGGCAGUCUCAAGUCAAACUAGGGAGAUCACUGAACAUGGAUUCAUCCUUCAAAGAGUCAACUGCUGAUUCAGGUUUCCAAAACAAGACUGUUUCUGAAAUCAGUUUACCACUGGAGGAACUUGAUAAUCUUAUUGAAGAGCACAAUUUGGAUAAAGAAACAUCAACUCCCCAGAAAAGUGAAGCAGAUGAAUUAUCAGAGCUGUAUGUGGGUCUGAAAGGGGACAUGCAGCUGCCCAAACACCCGACAUUCCAACCCAGAAGGCUCAUGUCUAGCCCACUAGAGGAUGCUGCAGAGCGAGUAACUGAAGCAUUGGCGGAUGAGGAGUCUGAGGAAGAGCUGGGUGCUGGUGUCAAAGCUGUUUUUAACUCAUUUAAGACUCAGUUGAGAGCACACUUUACCAGCAGGUAUAAGAAGAUUGAAGCCAGAUCCCUGCAAUCUUUAACAGACUGUCAGAGAAAUGUGACUUCUCUCUUAGGAACUGUACACAAUCAAAGGUUGGUGCACCUGGAGCAGUUCCAGAACACGGUGGUGCAGCAGUUGGCAUGUUUGGAGCAGGACUGUCUGUCUCUCAAAACCAUCGAGAAAGAGACUGUGAAUUUCUGGCAGUCGGAGUCUGACACAGUUCGGGCAUUCUGUGAUAGACAGCAGAAGAGAAAUCCAUAUGACCAAGGCAAGUUCUUGUACGUGAAUUUAAAAAGCUCUCCCAUAACAGGUUGGAUACUCUUCUCAUCCCACAUGUGAGUGCUGAAGCACCAUUUAGUUUAUCAGCGAAAAGAGAGGCUAAAAUUACUGCGCCCGCCUCUCCUCAAGGUGCCACCACUGCGGAUCCCUUAUAAGGACUUCACACUAUGAUGCUGCUGCUUUCCUUUUAUUUAUUUGUUUUUUAUAUUUUUUUUUUUUGACUGAAAUGUCUACUCCUAAUUAAAGUAAUUUGUUUCUGGUGUGAAAUGAUCAGAUUUAUCACUUUAACAUUGCAAGUGCUUAAUUCAGUUUAUAAUAAAGGCAAUCAUUAAGGUUUUCUGUGGUCAUUUUAAAAAAGCAUAAAUUUAUAGGUUCACACUAAUGAAAUGAAAAUUUAAGCUUUGUGCUGUUUUUACCUGUUAAAAUUUAGCAGAUAUACACGGUUAUCUUCUAGCACAGGGAUGCCUAACUCUGUCCCUGAAGCUCUACAGUGCACAGCAUAAAUGAGUACACCCCCUCUGAAUUAAUAUAAAAGAUGUAUUUUGUUAAUGAUUACUAAAAUAAUUAAUGGAAAGAUAGCAAAAUUGAAACGUAUUAAACAUACUUAAUAAAAACAAAAUAUAUGCCAAUAUUUUCUGUGAGAUAAGAAAAUUAGUCAAUUUUGUUUAAAUGAAGGAUUGCAGAAAUGAGUACACCCUAGAUUUAAUUCAACAAAUGUAUAAUAGUCCUUAGUACGUUCUCCAGAACUUUAAGUAUACUGCUCUGACCCUUUUUGGCACUGAGUGUACAAGUUCAUGACACAUUUUCACAUCUGUCCUGUUUAACUCCUGGAGGACAACCUCCUUAAAUGCUCUGGUCUUUUAAUGGGGAGUUUUGCUCAGCUCGUCCCUAUAGAAUCCCCCACAGUUGCUCAAGAGCGUUAAGAUUGAGUGAAAUACAUGUCCACUGAAGGAUUUUCACCUUGGGAGAAUGAAUAUCUUGUCACGGUUGAUAGAAUCACUAGGUGCGUUUACAUGUACACUUUUUUGUCAUUCCGAUUGAAAGAUUCGAUUAACUGUUUACAUGAGACGGUAUCUAAUCCGAUAUGGUGUUUACAUGUGCCUGUGCUUUCGAUUUUAGGAUAUGCUAAUAGCCUACAGUGACAACAAAAACAAGUCACCAGAGGAAAAAACGCCCAUAUUUACGUUAAUAUUUUUAAUAUCUGUUUGCACUUGCUUAGAAUAAACGGUUAAUAUUUGAAUCCCUUGCGUUCAUUCGAGCGCUCGGUCAUAUGGCCAGAACGCGAUCAUAGAAAUCAUAUGUCCCUCUGUAAUGCAGCUGAGAUUAAUUGUACUCUGAUACUACAAAGUUGUACUGUACUUAAAUGGAACAAAUACACGAUUUCUUACCAAGAGUUGCUGAACAAUGAAUCAAAUGAGCAUUGCUUUAUCACAAUCGUGUUUCGUACAACAUUCAUGGCGUGAGCACGUAUAAAUUCAAGCAGAUCGGAAAUUAUGAAUCUGUCAUCUAUACAAAUACAAAUGACAAAGGCAACUUUUGGUCAAGUUGUUUAUUUUCAUUGAGCUACUUUCACUAUCAUCACUGUGUUGUUUCUAAGCUGAAAAGCAGAAAAUUGCGCUUCAUUUCAGAUCUGUUUUCACUCCGGACAUGAGAGCAGAUAGUCUGUCACACAGCAAGCGUUCUCCUUUCUAAUGUGUUUUUAACUGUAUAAUGGAAAUUUUAACUUUAUACCUCCACUAUUACCCAGUCUCUACUGUAGUGUCGGUGUCCCCAAAUCACAGAAUGUACCGUUGCCGACAUCAUCACGUUCACGUUCUGACGACCCGACCUCUGGACGUGAUGACGUAGACGCAAAGUAAUCGGUUUAAAGUGUUUACAUGGCAGGAUUUUAAUUUUGUUCGGUUUAUAGAAAGGUUUAUCCCACCCCUCUCAAACCGAUUACAAUUUCAUUCGGUUUGGGCAUUUUUAUUCCGAUUGAGGUGUUUAUACGGAGCAUUUUCAUUCGGAUUGGACUUUUAAACCGAUUACAAUGCUCCAUGUAAACGCACCUACUGUCUCAUUCUUGCUUGUCUGUUGUGGUGUGCUGUGAGUAGGUGUGACCGAGCUCGUGAUUACGGGCUGAUCAGUCCCAGCUGUGGCUCAUUACUGGGGCUAUUUAAGAUCAGCUAACGCUCCUCUUUUUGUCAGAUCCUCACAGUUUCUCAGCGUUCCAGUCCCGCACAUUCUGUCUUCUGGUGUGUUCCUGUCUCUGCCCUGGCUUCGGAGGAUUCCACAGCUGGACUUGGCUGCCCAUUGCGUCCUUGCGCAUGUCUUCCAUCCACGCUGUGC